GCGUUGUUGCGUCGUUCAGGAACUCAGGUAACCAAGUUUGACAUUGACAAACCACCUGACGAAAUGACGUGACAAACUCGUAACUGACAAAUAGAAAAAUACAACACAAUAACACGAAAUCUGCAAGUACAAAAAGAAUUUGCUGCGAAAUCAACAAUGAAUUUCAAACUGUGUGUGUUUUUGUUCACCUUGCUGACGGUCACAAAUGUCGAGGCGGCACAAGGCUACGAUUUCGGAGACUUCUUGGCGACAGUUUUAGGACUCGGAAUAGCUGCAAUAGGAAUCCUCGCAUGUUUAGGCAAAUAUGCGCGACAGCAAGCAAGAAACGAAUUCAUAUAAGACGCCACAAGAACAUGCCAGUACUGAUACUACACAAAGAAAGUGGUGGAACAACCUACACUGUAACGUAAAGUAAAUAAAAUAAUAACCAUGCUGUUCAAAUAAUUCUUGCUUAUAAUUGACACAAUUUGGCCACAAUGUGCAAAAUUUGUGUACAUUACAAUGUUGGAAGCUAAAAAUAUUUUUGUAAUGUAGUUUCUCCACUUUAUUAUAUUAUACUGUAAAGCUAUCGAAUAUGUAGAAAAUGUAGGAUAUAAGUAUAUUUUUUGUAUGGAAUAAUAAAUCUGUUUUCAGACAAACAUUAAUUUGGAUCUGAGUAUACAUGAUAUUGAACAAAACUUUGUAAUUAACAUUUAUUUUAAUAAACUUCUGAAAAAUGUGUUUCUCUUUUUGUCUGAAAACAGAGAAGCCUGACCAACAAGAUAUUGUGAUAUUUCUUGUAUUAUGUUAGAGAUAUCUGCUGGAUAGGCUCCAAUAUAAUUAUUUUUGUUACAUUCUUGUUUUAGAAUCAUAACCUCAAUAAUUUAAUUUGGUAAUAAAUAUUUUAUUUAAUCAUA
rnacentral:lncRNA from 1 species